UUUCCGCCUAACAAGAGAAUUGCCAAUGAGGAAUGAGGAUGUGUCCAUUUUAAUAAUAACACCAGUUGUUGCUUUUAUCUCCUGCCAACACCAGUUCUGCAAAGAAGAAGUUGUCAGUUUCUAAUUUACAAAAUCAGAAUUUUUUAUCUGGUCUGUCAUCGCUAGGGGUGUGUAAACACUCCCAUUAUUUAACUAUCAAAACUGGCCUUCUCAUGAAAAACCUAAAAAUAAUAGGGAACAUUUCUCCUUUUUUUCUCAACUUCCUCUCCAUUGUUUCACCCCGAAGUAAAUUAACAUUUGAAAGUGUUUGCAUUUAUAAAGUCAUGUACUUUGACCUUGCCAAUUGGUCUUCUACACAGUAUAUGUUUUUCAUAUCCUUUGCUGGCUGUACUGAGUGAUUUUGAAACAGAAUAAAAUCAGUGUUAAGAGAUUCCCACUGAAAUGUUUGAAAGAAUUCAGUUGACUGAAUAGCACCCACUGCUUAUAACACUUCCUAAAUAUUGCUAUGAGCUGCUUAUAAUCACUCAUAGAAUUGUUAUAAAGCCCUAUAGAUGUAUUUAUAAGGCUUUAACAAUGUUCUAAUGAGGCACUAUGAGAAGUGGGUUCAUAUAAAGUGUUACUGAGAUUUUAUCUGUGAGGAGUCUCUAACUCGUUGUCAAACAGAUUUAAAUUCUCAUGAAAUUGAGUGUAUCCACCUUAUUCCUGAAGGUGCUACUGUUUUUACGAUUAUGAGUAAAAUCGGAAAUAUCUUUAAGAUGGUUUGUCGUGGUGGCCAAUCGUAGGGACUGAGCAAUGAUAGCAGUUGUUUUGAAUCUAAAUUACCAGCACAGGGCCCCCCCAAAGGUCACUUUUGGCUCCCUUCCUUUUUACCCUGUACACACAACAAACUACCACCUGCAGAAGAUCUCGGAUGACUCCGCUAUUGUUGGCCUCAUUGCCAAUGAUGAAAUGGUGGAUCCUUCUAUGACUCUGUAGUGGCCUCAGCCAUCCUCUAUGGAGUGGUCUGCUGGAGCAGCAGCAUCACAACUGCAAACAGGAACAGACUAAACAAACUGGUGAGGAGGGCUCGCUCUGUCCUGGACUGCCCUCUAGACCGUGUAGCGGUGGUGGGAGACAGGAGGGUGAUGGCUAAGCAUUCGUCUCUCAUGGACAAUGUUUUCCAUUGUACUUAUUAUUCUAUGUUUGCCGUGUGGAUCCUUUGCUGCUGUUAACACUGCAAGUUUUCCCCACAUGGAAUGAAUAAAGGUUUAUCUUAUUGUAGCAGGUAGGAUUAAGAGGCUGCAUGCUGUGCUGCCUCUCCAAAAACUAGGUCAACUCCCCCCCCCUUUUCCCUACCCUCCUAUUUAAGACACCUGUGGCAGGAGCGCUGCUGCCUUUUCCUUUGUCUGCCUGCUUGCUGCCACAUGGUCUGGACAGAGGCAAUGAGGACUGGUUCAUAGUAUUUGACCAUUGAUUUAGAGUCCCUUUUAAUCAGUAGCUGAAUUGUGAGUGUUUGAUUGCAGUUUGCACUUUUCCCUCUGUCGACGUCCACCGGUACAGAAAGCUUGGAUAGAUGUACCUAAACAGACUCAAUCAGCUGCUGUUUUGUUUUGUUUUGGCCUUUUAGAUCCUGUUGUUGUCUUUUGAAAUUUGGUUUGGUUUGGUUUGUUUUUUUCUGUUAGUAUUUUAGGAAUUGCGAUUAAAGAGAAAUUUUAGCAGAACCAACUGGGUUCUUUUAUAUAGUUUUCAGCAUUUCUUUUGUAUAACUCUUUCUUUGUCAACCCCUACAAUGCAGUGGUGGAUGGCUAGCAGUGGAGGCUAGGCACGUUGGGUGGUUCCCCACACCUUUUUUUUGCAGUGGUAGCCACACUGGGGCACCAUAGUCUACACCGGUUUGCAGUAUCUGUAGUGAUUUGCAGAGGGUUCACGUGUGGUGGAUAAGUGCACUCCUGGGACACUUCCUUUGGUAGACUGCCUCCCUCUUGCUAGCUCCCACUCACUGCCCCCUUCCUUUUUUUGAUUAGUUUUAACUAUCUGGAAGUGUUUUAUUAAUUGUCAAAAGAAUCAGUUGUAACAGUUUUCCAAUCCAAUUCAAUAACAGACUCAAGCUUUUUAUUACAAAUUCACCGCUAACUCUUUUUUGUUUCUUUCAGCAGACACUUCUAGGUCCAAGCAUUUUUUACAUUUUUAUGUUAUAAAUAAAUCUUGAUUUUGCUUUGAACAACAGCUCUGUCUCAUAGCCUUUUCUGAAUUUAUGGUUGAAACUGGGUUAAAUUCAUUGGGUGAAAGUCCCUCGGUGACGUUGGUGGAUGACCUUAGCAUUUAUCUGAAAUUUGCCCUCCCCCACACAGCCACAUUAUCUUGAGAUAAAUCUUAUUUGAGGCCAUUUGUUUAUAUCGUCCUCCCACCCCUUGAUUGAUAGGAGGGCAGAGGAAUGAUAACAUUGUCCCUUUUGAAGGUAUGACAGCUGAUUUUCCCACAUUAGUUUUAUCCUUGAUUGCUCUAAUAAUCACUAUUAGCGUACAGUUGCUAUGGAAAAUGCCAGCCUGACGCUCAGUGACAGAGAGCAUCAGAAGACCUGCCAACAAUUUAUGCAAUUUUUAACAAAACAUAGGCAGAGUGACAAUGAAAACACAAUAUUUAGUUCUUAAAACUUGCUUAAAUGUUGGCAAAACUUCAUCUUUUUCUGCUAAGACAACUUGGGAUGAGUUGGAGGGACUAGCAAGCUUUGUACUCUGAACUAGUAUCUUUAUUUUGGCACUACUAAACCACAAUGGUGGUUAGUAAUUCAAAUAAUCAACACAACAAGUCCACCCUGAAUAGGUGGUAUGUUGGUGUUUCCUGUGUGCCAGUACACAUGGCAUUAUGUGGCUGCACGACUUGUUGACACACAGCAGGAGCUUCACAUGCAAACACACUCUGGCAUGCACACAUGCACAUAUACAUCACCACCUACUUGCUCUGUUGCUAUCUGAAAGGGAGGAUCAGAAGCAGAAGAACUGUGUUCCUCCAGUUCACCUUUGGUUGUUACACAUUGCAGUAACAGGGGUGCAAGUAUCACGCCUCUAUACGGCAGUAUGUAAGCACCUAUAGAAACUGCACAUUGUGUAUUCUGUUGAAUGCAGUGGAAGUCUUCACGCAGGAAUGAAAACCUGUUCUCCUUUGGGAGUCUCUCAGAAACAAACUGCAACUUAUU
rnacentral:lncRNA from 1 species